GGGAGCUUAGAUGUGGAAGCUCUUUGGAAACCAAGAAACACUCUGAAAAUGAAAAGGGUGGAAGAGUAAACUGUUCCUGUUUCUCCAUCUUGACAGGAAGCAGAAGUUCUCCUUAGCUGAUUUUUCUUCUUGCCUUAUACUGGGUUCUUUAACACCAGAACAAAAAUAAAUAAAUAAAAGAAUCUUCCAGAAAUUCAUGAAGAGACUUCAGGUCAGGAAAGCCUGAACUUUCUCAUCCAACACCCGUUCAAGUCGGAGGAUGCUGAUUAAUUCAUGAUGGAAAGGUAUCAAUUUCACAGCCCAGACCUCUACAUUCUUGAAAUGCUCUUCUCAUGGGAGACAUUAAAUAAGCUUUGAAUUAACUGAAGAACCAAUGAUGUGAUCCCUGGAUACUGGCAAUUGUUGCCCAAGAAAACCUCUCCCCUUGCUGUGGGACUGCUGGGCACCCAAAUAAUGCACCCAAAUAAUUUGAUAGCUCUUGUUACACAGCUCUUCUUGGACUAAAAGGCCCUCAGCAUUCCUGUCAAUUUCUACACUCCUGAAGCUUCAUCUGGAGACCUCUGUGGAUUCUAUAACUCAAAGACCCAGGCUGACGGCUGGUGGAAUAGCUACCAUCUCAAACAUGGCGUGAUGCUGCAUCAGAGAGAAAAAUAAGCUCUUGCAUUGACAAUGAAAUGUCUACCCUGUAGUGACUUGUGCUUACUUCCACUCACAAGUGAUUGCCCAGAGCUACUUACCUGGCUCCAAUCUACCACUGGGUCAGACGUUUGCUGAAUUCAGUUCUGAGCUUUUGAACCAAAAGCAGAUCUUCAGAACAAGAAACAAGAUAAUAAAAGAGAAACAUGAAGAAACUGAAGAUGAUUGGAGAAAUAUGAAUCAAGAUGAUUAGACCUAGCAGAGGGCUGGCUGGAUGGCAUUUAUGUUGACAAUGGACUCCUACACAGAGGAUGAUCAUGGUCUAGGACAUAAUAGUCAUUCAAUCA
rnacentral:lncRNA from 1 species